CAGGUUUCAUUUUAUUCUGACUGGCUUAUUCAAUAAAGUAAAUUAAAGGUGAAUUUCACAUUUAAGGUUAAACUAGCCGAUCUGGAAAAAUUCUCUAAGUUAGUUAUCCUUUAAAUUCCACUAGUCUGGUCUUUAAUUUGAGAUUCUCAUGGAAUUCCCUUUGAAUUCUUACUUUAUUGAAUAACCCUGUUAGAGUGCUGAUGGGUAGAUUUAACAUCCAGCAAUGGUCGGGUUAAAAUCCAGUCCUGCGAGUAAGUCAACUCAAAGUUAACGAUGUCAGUGAAAAUAUCUAAAUAUUCUCACUUUAUUCUCCUGAG